rnacentral:rRNA from 1 species
AGAGCGAACGCUGGCGGCAGGCCUAAUACAUGCAAGUCGAGCGCACCUUCGGGUGAGCGGCGGACGGGUGAGUAACGCGUGGGAAUAUGCCCUUUGGUACGGAACAACUGAGGGAAACUUCAGCUAAUACCGUAUGUGCCCUUCGGGGGAAAGAUUUAUCGCCAUUGGAGUAGCCCGCGUUGGAUUAGGUAGUUGGUGAGGUAAAGGCUCACCAAGCCUACGAUCCAUAGCUGGUCUGAGAGGAUGAUCAGCCACAUUGGGACUGAGACACGGCCCAAACUCCUACGGGAGGCAGCAGUAGGGAAUCUUGCGCAAUGGGCGAAAGCCUGACGCAGCCAUGCCGCGUGAAUGAUGAAGGUCUUAGGAUUGUAAAAUUCUUUCACCGGGGAAGAUAAUGACGGUACCGGAGAAGAAGCCCGGCUAACUUCGUGCCAGCAGCCGC